rnacentral:rRNA from 1 species
CGACCCCAGGAUGGGCGGGGUGACCC